GAGCAGACAUACACUGAAUAAGCUGUUUAAACUAGAAGGAAGUUUACUUAUAAAACAGCUGCUAUUAAAAUGCAGAACAUUAUAUUUGUUUGUCAAAGAACAUUGGAGUAAAUGUGAAGCAUGAAAAUUGGGCAAAGGACUGAGGAAGAUAUUUCAAAGUCGGAGACCAAGAGUACUGAAGGACCCUUGUGGAUGAUGGAAAGUAGUGAGAGAAGGGCUCUGGGGGCUGGUAUUGAGGUGCUGAGGGGAGAGCUGGAGGUGGUAGGCCUGGGGCUGGGAGAUUGUCCCUGGGAGGAGGUGGAUGUUCCCCGCAUGGAGGGGGGCUGUACUCCCCUUAUCACUGCCUGCCAGAGGGGCUUGACUGAGGUUGUACACUUCCUUCUGAAAAGAGGAGCCGAUGUGACUCUGUGCAACCAUAGCAACCAGACACCACUGCAUGUGAGUCUUCCAGUCCUCCAGGAGGUGCUGUUAUCAGCCAUGUUCAGGGCUCUGCCCCACCAGACCCAGCUCCUCCAGGCUGCCUGGCAGGGAGACCUCCACUCCCUGCAGCACCUCCUGGCCCAGACUGACCUAGUGGACGUGAACACUCAGAACCGCGACGGGCUGACCCCUCUAAUGCUGGCUGUGAGGGACGUCGACCUGUUUGAGGAGCUGGACGUCCGGUUGCCAUGGGAAUACAGACCUGUGGAGGUGGUCAGGGAACUGCUGGCUCUCUCAGCUGACCUGGGGGUGUGUGAUGUCAACGGCUGUUCUGCUCUUCACUAUGCUGCUCAGAUAGAGAGCCCCCUGAAGGACGAACUCAUCUACAUGAUGGUUGAGUCCCUCAGACAGCCAGCGCCCACGCCCCUGGACCUGCAGUGCUUCCACCCUGAUGAGCUGAGAGUAAACUCCCCCAGCCCCUCUCCCUCUCUGACCGAUGAGCUGAGAGCAACAAACUCCCCAAGCUCCUCUCCCUAUCUGACCCAAAAUGUCCUCAUUCAGACUGCUGUCAGCACAGAGGAUUUGCUGGAGUCUCCAGAGUGCGUUCUUUUAUCCGACCAUCAUAAAGCCAUCAAUCAAGGUAAGCUAUAUUUCCCUAUUGUGCACUGUCACCUACAGUAGGUAGGGUCUUGGACAGUGACUCCUUGUGUCUCUGGUCUGUGUGCCCUGUUGGCUCUACACAAGACCACCCCCUCCUCCCAAACACACCCUUCCCCUCUCUUCACACACUGGGCCUAUCCCACAAAGAGACAGCCACAAAGGCCAGCCCUGCCAUGGCCCAAGCUGAUUGGGUCAGUGUGCUAAAUCACUCCCCUCAGGGAGACACAAUACAGACUCCCAGCUGGAAACCUUCCUGACUCCUGUCAGAAACACACAACAGAACAGAGUAGCUCAGAGAGCAAAAACGAGAGCGAGCGAGCUAGAGGUGUACAGCCCCUCUCAAUCGCAUUCUGUCAUAUAAUCUGAGGAGGCUGAGAUGAGGGUAGAUUGGACUAACUGGCUCUGAAACAGGUAACGUCUAUUGUUUCUUAUGUUGUUCUCCAACCACUUUGUUUGGAAAGUACUGUAAAUGCUAAAUGUCAUUUGUAGUUUUCUGCACAUAGGCUGUGUAUAGAAACAGUUGUGUAAAAACAACAUGUAAAAUGUUUGGCAUUAUGCAGUGAUAAUAAAUUGUAUUAUUGGUUCAUUUUGAUCUUGGUGAAAUUCUACUGAGUUUAUCAUAAACAGUGUCAUGGUGGAGCAUCUGGGCUCCUGAGUGGCGCAGCGGUCUAAGGCACUGCAUCUCAGUGCAAGAGGCAUCACUACAGUCCCUGGUUCGAAUCCAGGCUGUAUCACAUCCGGCCGUGAUUGGGAGUUCCAUAGGGCGACGCACAAUUGGCCCAGCGUCGUCCGGGUUUGGCCGUCAUUGUAAAUAAGAAUUUGUUCUGAACUGACUUGCCUAGUUAAAUAAAGGUUAACUGGAAGAAAAAAAUCGGAUUCGUCAGUGAACUGUUGUGAUACUGAAUGCUAUCCUACGUGUAACAGAGGAACCAUUCACUGUUGGCUUGGGACUUUUGCUGUUGACACACAGUAGCAGUAAUGUCCCUGCUGUAUGUGAAAGGUACAUCAACCCCUACUGACCUCAGGCUGUGUUGGGUCCUGUAGAUAAGGGCCUCU
ensembl:lncRNA